ACUCUUUUAGUAUCAAGCAGUACAAUUGACUUCCAAUCAAUUAGUUUCGGUAGACUCCGAAAAAGAGUA
rnacentral:tRNA from 1 species